GACGAACGCUGGCGGCGUGCUUAACACAUGCAAGUCGAACGGAAAGGCCCUGCUUUUGUGGGGUGCUCGAGUGGCGAACGGGUGAGUAACACGUGAGUAACCUGCCCUUGACUUUGGGAUAACUUCAGGAAACUGGGGCUAAUACCGGAUAGGAGCUCCUGCUGCAUGGUGGGGGUUGGAAAGUUUCGGCGGUUGGGGAUGGACUCGCGGCUUAUCAGCUUGUUGGUGGGGUAGUGGCUUACCAAGGCUUUGACGGGUAGCCGGCCUGAGAGGGUGACCGGCCACAUUGGGGCUGAGAUACGGCCCAGACUCCUACGGGAGGCAGCAGUGGGGAAUAUUGCACAAUGGGCGGAAGCCUGAUGCAGCGACGCCGCGUGCGGGAUGACGGCCUUCGGGUUGUAAACCGCUUUCGCCUGUGACGAAGCGUGAGUGACGGUAAUGGGUAAAGAAGCACCGGCUAACUACGUG
rnacentral:rRNA from 1 species